AAUGAACGUUGGCGGCGUGGAUUAGGCAUGCAAGUCGAGCGAGAACCGUGGCAAUACGGGGACAGCGGCGCAAGGGAGAGUAAUACGUGGAUACCUACCCUCGGGUCCGGGAUAGCUGCGGGAAACUGCAGGUAAUACCGGAUGACAUCUCCGGAUCAAAGGUGUGAUUCCGCCCGGGGAGGGGCCCGCGUCCUAUUAGCUAGUUGGUGAGGUAACGGCUCACCAAGGCUGUGAUGGGUACGGGGUGUGAGAGCAUGCCCCCGCGCACUGGGACUGAGACACUGCCCAGACACCUACGGGUGGCUGCAGUCGAGAAUCUUCGGCAAUGGGCGCAAGCCUGACCGAGCGACGCCGCGUGCGGGAUGAAGGCCUUCGGGUUGUAAAUCGCUGUCAGAGGGGAGGAAAUGCCGGUGGGUUCUCUCAUCGGUUUGACCUAUCCUCAGAAGAAGGACGGGCUAAGUUCGUGCCAGCCGCCGCGGUAA
rnacentral:rRNA from 1 species